GAUGAAGAACGUAGCGAAAUGCGAUAAGUAAUGUGAAUUGCAGAAUUCAGUGAAUCAUCGAAUCUUUGAACGCAUCUUGCGCUCCUUGGUAUUCUGAGGAGCAUGCCUGUUUGAGUGUCAUUAAAUUCUCAACUACACUGACUUUGAAUUGGUGUGGCUUGGAUUUGGGGGGAAAAUUGUUGUGGGCUUUUUGUAUAGUCUGCUCCCCUGAUAUUGAUUAGCGGUACCUUUGUGGAACUGUCUACAGGUGUGAUAAUUAUCUACAUCUUAGACAUCUGCUGGAAUGCUGCUUUCUAAACCUUACUUGUAUUGACAAUCUUGACCUCAAAUCAGGUAGGACUACCCGCUGAACUUAAGCAUAUCAAUAAGCGGAGGA
rnacentral:misc_RNA from 1 species